rnacentral:snoRNA from 1 species
AAUCCUUGUUGUAGGCAUUGGUGAAGUAAACAUUUGUAUCGUUCCCAAUCCUCUAAAUAGCAUUCUGAGUCCUGUUUUUGAAAAAUAGUAAUCCCAUCCCUUAGCUU